GGGUUGUGAGGUUAAGCGACUAAGCGUACACGGUGGAUGCCCUGGCAGUCAGAGGCGAUGAAGGGCGUGCUAAUCUGCGAUAAGCGCCGGUAAGGUGAUAUGAACCGUUAUAACCGGCGAUACCCGAAUGGGGAAACCCAGUGUGAUUCGUCACACUAUCAUUAACUGAAUCCAUAGGUUAAUGAGGCGAACCGGGGGAACUGAAACAUCUAAGUACCCCGAGGAAAAGCAACCGAAUUCCCCCAGUCGGCGAGCGAAGGAGGACUGAAUCAGCAUGUGUUAGUGGAAGCGUCGGAAAGGCGCCGAUACAGGGUGACCCCCGUACCGCAUUGCUGUGAGCUCGAUGAGUAGGGCGGGACACGUGGUAUCCUGUCGAAUAUCAUCCUCCAAGGCUAAACUCCUGACUGACCGAUAGUGAAGUACCGUGGGAAAGGCGAAGCGAGUGAACCUGCGUGUACGUACAAGCAGUGGGAGCAGGUUUACCUGUGACUGCGUACCUUUUGUAUAAUGGGUCAGCGACUUAUAUUCUGUAGCAAGGUUAACCGUAUAGGGGAGCCGUAGGGAAACCGAGUCUUAACCGGGCGUUAAGUUGCAGGGUAUAGACCCGAAACCCGGUGAUCUAGCCAUGGGCAGGUUGAAGGUUGGGUAACACUAACUGGAGGACCGAACCGACUAAUGUUGAAAAAUUAGCGGAUGACCUGUGGCUGGGGGUGAAAGGCCAAUCAAACCGGGAGAUAGCUGGUUCUCCCCGAAAGCUAUUUAGGUAGCGCCUCGUGAAUUCAUCUCCGGGGGUAGAGCACUGUUUCGGCUAGGGGGCCAUCCCGGCUUACCAACCCGAUGCAAACUGCGAAUACCGGAGAAUGUUAUCACGGGAGACACACGGCGGGUGCUAACGUCCGUCGUGAAGAGGGAAACAACCCAGACCGCCAGCUAAGGUCCCAAAGUCAUGGUUAAGUGGGAAACGAUGUGGGAAGGCCCAGACAGCCAGGAUGUUGGCUUAGAAGCAGCCAUCAUUUAAAGAAAGCGUAAUAGCUCACUGGUCGAGUCGGCCUGCGCGGAAGAUGUAACGGGGCUAAACCAUGCACCGAAGCUGCGGCAGCGAACGUAUCACCCAAGACAACUUUACGGAGUUGACGAUUGACGGAGCGAAGCGACGUCAAAGCGUUCAUUAAAGUCGAGUUGGCUUAGGGAUACGUUCGUUGGGUAGGGGAGCGUUCUGUAAGCCUGUGAAGGUGUGUCGUGAGGCAUGCUGGAGGUAUCAGAAGUGCGAAUGCUGACAUAAGUAACGAUAAAGCGGGUGAAAAGCCCGCUCGCCGGAAGACCAAGGGUUCCUGUCCAACGUUAAUCGGGGCAGGGUGAGUCGACCCCUAAGGCGAGGCCGAAAGGCGUAGUCGAUGGGAAACGGGUUAAUAUUCCCGUACUUGGUGUUACUGCGAAGGGGGGACGGAGAAGGCUAUGUUGGCCGGGCGACGGUUGUCCCGGUUUAAGCGUGUAGGUGUGUGUUCCAGGUAAAUCCGGUUCACUUUAACACUGAGGCGUGACGACGAGGCACUACGGUGCUGAAGCAACAAAUGCCCUGCUUCCAGGAAAAGCCUCUAAGCAUCAGGUAACACGAAAUCGUACCCCAAACCGACACAGGUGGUCAGGUAGAGAAUACCAAGGCGCUUGAGAGAACUCGGGUGAAGGAACUAGGCAAAAUGGUGCCGUAACUUCGGGAGAAGGCACGCUGACACGUAGGUGAAGUGAUUUACUCAUGGAGCUGAAGUCAGUCGAAGAUACCAGCUGGCUGCAACUGUUUAUUAAAAACACAGCACUGUGCAAACACGAAAGUGGACGUAUACGGUGUGACGCCUGCCCGGUGCCGGAAGGUUAAUUGAUGGGGUCAGCGCAAGCGAAGCUCCUGAUCGAAGCCCCGGUAAACGGCGGCCGUAACUAUAACGGUCCUAAGGUAGCGAAAUUCCUUGUCGGGUAAGUUCCGACCUGCACGAAUGGCGUAAUGAUGGCCAGGCUGUCUCCACCCGAGACUCAGUGAAAUUGAACUCGCUGUGAAGAUGCAGUGUACCCGCGGCAAGACGGAAAGACCCCGUGAACCUUUACUAUAGCUUGACACUGAACAUUGAGCCUUGAUGUGUAGGAUAGGUGGGAGGCUUUGAAGUGUGGACGCCAGUCUGCAUGGAGCCGACCUUGAAAUACCACCCUUUAAUGUUUGAUGUUCUAACGUGGACCCGUAAUCCGGGUUGCGGACAGUGUCUGGUGGGUAGUUUGACUGGGGCGGUCUCCUCCUAAAGAGUAACGGAGGAGCACGAAGGUUGGCUAAUCCUGGUCGGACAUCAGGAGGUUAGUGCAAUGGCAUAAGCCAGCUUGACUGCGAGCGUGACGGCGCGAGCAGGUGCGAAAGCAGGUCAUAGUGAUCCGGUGGUUCUGAAUGGAAGGGCCAUCGCUCAACGGAUAAAAGGUACUCCGGGGAUAACAGGCUGAUACCGCCCAAGAGUUCAUAUCGACGGCGGUGUUUGGCACCUCGAUGUCGGCUCAUCACAUCCUGGGGCUGAAGUAGGUCCCAAGGGUAUGGCUGUUCGCCAUUUAAAGUGGUACGCGAGCUGGGUUUAGAACGUCGUGAGACAGUUCGGUCCCUAUCUGCCGUGGGCGCUGGAGAACUGAGGGGGGCUGCUCCUAGUACGAGAGGACCGGAGUGGACGCAUCACUGGUGUUCGGGUUGUCAUGCCAAUGGCACUGCCCGGUAGCUAAAUGCGGAAGAGAUAAGUGCUGAAAGCAUCUAAGCACGAAACUUGCCCCGAGAUGAGUUCUCCCUGAGACUUAGAGUCUCCUGAAGGAACGUUGAAGACGACGACGUUGAUAGGCCGGGUGUGUAAGCGCAGCGAUGCGUUGAGCUAACCGGUACUAAUGAACCGUGAGGCUUAACCUUACAACGCCGAAG
rnacentral:rRNA from 1 species